UGAGAAUUGGAGCAGAAAUCAACUCUUCUCCGAAGGCAUUCUUGAGCGUAUUCCCUAUGAUAUAUCAAAGACGUGAACGGAAUCCAGCCUAACCUCUACUUUAUAUUCAGCAAUGGCUUCUCCUUUAUGCAUGGGUCGAUUUUCUCCUUCCAUUUUCUGAAAUCUCUUGUGAUGCGAAUGAGGAUAGCUUAUAAGUUCAACAAUGAAGAUAUUUUGGAGGAAGGGCAGAUCAACAAUUUCCCUCGUGGUUUGUGAGGUUGGAUGGUGGUGUGUUAAAGAUUGUGAUGCACAAGCACAUAACUUUCUUGCUGCUUGUGGUGUUUUAUGUACAUUAUUUCAUGAUAUUCCAGUAAGGAAUUCUUAAAAUUGAUUUUGCCAUUAGAGGCAGAGAGAGGAGAGGGAGCUCAUGGAGACAUAUUGAGUACUUGUGGUGUUGUCUUGUAGUAUGAAUUUACUCGCGAGCGUUAUUCUUUGGUAUCGAAGUCUCUUGACUUUAAACACCAAUAAGCAUACUCCGAAUGCGAUUUUGUGUAAUAUUUCAUCAAUGUCAGUGAAUAGCAGCAAAUUUUACUUGUGUUUAUAUCUACUUUUCUUAGUUUAUUGUAAAUUCUGAGUGCAAGUAGCGGUUAGGAGAUUAACUUUUUUAUUAUGUAUUCUUCUGAUUAGUUAUAUAUUGGAAUGGUAAAGUGACAAUUAACUUAA